rnacentral:rRNA from 1 species
CCUACGGGGGGCAGCAGUGGGGAAUAUUGUGCAAUGGGCGAAAGCCUGACGCAGCGACGCCGCGUGAGGGAUGAAGGUCUUCGGAUCGUAAACCUCUGUCAGCAGGGAAGAACGCUCCCUGUGCUAAUCAGCAGUGAAUUGACGGUACCUGCAAAGGAAGCACCGGCUAACUCCGUGCCAGCAGCCGCGGUAAUACGGAGGGUGCGAGCGUUAAUCGGAAUUACUGCGAGUCAAGCGCUCGUAGGCGGUAUGUCAAGUCAAGGGUGAAAUCCCCGCGCGCAACGUGGGAACUGCCUUUGAAACUGGGAAACUGGAGUGUGUGAGAGGAGAGUGGAAUUCCAGGUGUAGGAGUGAAAUCCGUAGAUAUCUGGAGGAACAUCAGUGGCGAAGGCGACUAUCUGGAACAUAACUGACGCUGAGGAGCGAAAGCGUGGGUAGCAAACAGGAUUAGAUACCCUUGUAGUC